GCGGGACCACCUCCGGCUUCGUUGGCACUACCUCCGGCUUUGGUGGAAGCUCACCAGCCAGCACCGGAGGUGGCAGCUCCGGCUUCGGGAGUUCGGGUUGGGGCAGGGGCUGUGGUGGCACCGGCAAUGGCUCCGGCUUCGGCAGGGGUUGUGGUGGCACCGGCAAUGGCUCGGGCUUGGGCAGAGGUUGUGGUGGUACAGGAAGCGGCUCAGGCUUGGGCAGGGGUUGCGGUGGCACCGGCAGUGGCUCCGGCUUCGGCAGGGGCUGUGGUGGCAUCGGCAACGGCUCCGGCUUCGGCAGGGGCUGCGGUGGCAGUGGCAGUGGCUCAGGUUUGGGCAGAGGCUGUGGUGGCACCGGCAGGGGCUCCGGCUUCGGCAGGGGUUGUGGUGGCACCGGCAGUGGCUCGGGUUUAGGUAGGGGCUGCGGUGGCACCGGCAACGGUUCUGGCUUCGGCAGGGGCUGCGGUGGCACCGGCAGUGGCUCCGGCUUCGGCAGGGGCUGUGGUGGCACCGGCAGCGGCUCGGGUUUAGGUAGGGGCUGCGGUGGCACCGGCAGUGGCUCCGGCUUCGGCAGGGGCUGCGGUGGCACCGGCAGCGGCUCGGGUUUGGGCAGGGGCUGCGGUGGCACCGGCAGGGGCUCCGGCUUCGGCAGGGGCUGCGGUGGCACCGGCAGCGGCUCGGGUUUGGGCAGGGGCUGCGGUGGCACCGGCAGCGGCUCAGGGUUUGGCAGGGGCUCAGGAUUCGGUAGGGGCUGUGGUGGCACCGGCAGCGGCUCAGGGUUCGGCAGGGGCUGCGGCGGCACCGGCAAGGGCUCAGGCUUCGGUUCUUCAGGCUUGGGAAGAGGCGGCAGGUCAGGCUUCGGGAGCUCCUGCAUCCGCCGCGCCGCGUUGCUCAUGCCACCGCAUGAGAGCAGCAACGCCAGGACGAGCACGAAGGAGGACAUGGUGUUCGUGGAAGCCAUGGCG
rnacentral:lncRNA from 1 species